rnacentral:lncRNA from 1 species
UUUAACUAUGUGGAGUCGUAAUAUUUUUUACAGAAUCAUAGUUAGCUCCUUUUCCCGCCUACAAAGUGACGUGGGCAGCAAGGAACACCAAAGGGGGAGAUUUUGCUACUGGCCUGCAAAGCCGACAGUCUGAGGAACCCCGGGACGGGCUUCCCCUGUCCAGUUAAGUAGUCAUGGGGUAGUUUUUCAAUAUAGGAGUUAACAGAUUAUUUAUGAGAUAUUUGUUCGGCCAAAAGUGACCAAUGCUUUCUUUUCUUCGUUUUUUACCCCCAAAUGCCAUUUUUACUGCUUUAUCGUUCGUUUUAUUUUGUUUGUCUGGUUUCAUUUUGUUUUCCUUUUAUCUAGCUUUCUCUUUCACUUUUAUCCUUUUUUUCAUUGUAUCGUUUUAUCGUUUGUUUUAUUAAGUAUUUUGUUUCAUGUUUGUCUCAUAGUUCGUAUUUUAAUGUUCUAAGUUCCUUUUUGUACUACCAUUCAUUUUACUGUUUUAUUCGUUUUGUUUUAUCGUUUCAUGUUUUGCUGUGUUUCUUUUAAAUUUAUCUGUAAUAAACCUGUUUCACGUAUGCUUAGUUUUAUAAACUAAAGAUAACAGUAAAAUUGCUGAUGAGAACCACCUACAGUGAAUGGUGAUAGUUUCUUUAUUUUAAUCAAGGUGGCUCUUGCUUAGUAUACGCACACGCCUCUCCUCGGCUUGCACCACGCUUACCGGCCUUUAUAUUCUCGCACCAAACUCAUACACCACAUACAUACUACACUUACUCUUUCGCUCCUUUCCACACAACUUGUCUUCUACACUAUCAUUCUUCUCCCAUAUACACUACGUUCCCAUAAGAUAAUUAAAUGGGUGAUGGCAGUGACUCCUAUUUACAUAUCUUGCGAGAAAUAAUUGUAUUUAGCUUUUGCUACAAGUUCCCCCCCCCCCCCAUAUUAGCCAGUGACAGUACCUUGUUAUAGUGUAUACCCGUGUUUUAUGUGAAGGUUUAAUUCUGUCGUAUUCGGGCGCAGCUAUCGAUGUUAAAUGUUUUUUUUACCGCCUUUUAAAUCAUACAAUCAGUUAUACCGUGUUAAAGCAUAAUAAAGUUGAUGAGUUACAUUGUAGAUAUAAUGAAAGAGGCUCAGGCCAUGAGUAUGAAUCCUGAACAGAUUUCUAAGCUUUUACAGGAACAAAAGUCCUGUAAGGAAAAAGCUGACCGGGGAGAGCGCGCGGCUGAACGGGAGUAUAAGAAACGUCAACUGCAGUCUGAGGAAACCAAUAAGCAAUGGGAGCAUGAAAGAUCUAUGGCUGAAUUUCGGCUUCAAAAUGCAUUCGAGGGCAAUAGCAGUUCCGUUCGCGGUAGUGCUAAUGAUUCUUUGCAAGUUAAUUAAGAAUUAAAGUAGCCGACUUUUAACGAUGGUCAAGAUAUAGUUGCAAAGUUUUGAAAGAUUUGCUAAUUGACACAAGUGGAAUGAGGAAGACUACUUAGACGUCACGCACUUUAGGUUCACGUAUUGUUGCCUGAUGAUAUUGUAUCAUCAGGCAACAGGCUUAUUCCGUAGACGCCGACAUGUAUAAGCGUAAAUUUCGGAAGAGCAAAUGUCAGGAUAAAGAAACGAACGUCCAGCUGGUUGCUCGAAUGGAGCAGUAUCUUGAUGGGUGGAUCUUCUUGGGCAUUAUAGCCAAAAACUUUCAUUUACUUUCAUUUUUUGAAAAAUGAGAGCAGCUGUUAACUAAUUCUGAUAAAAAUCUUUUUGAAAGAACGAGUUUGAGUGAGACAGCAGUAGAGAUGGCGUAGUCGACUGACUGAUUUUGGAGUGCACAUUUGUAUCGUGAUAAGAGGGCUAAUCAUACUCUCCUCUUAAAACCGACCCAGUCACUUAAGGAAGGUAACACUGAGAUGACAUAUCACAGACGUGGAAAAGUCGGUCACAUCAGACCUAACUGUCCAGACAAUCCGAGAAAUUGUAAGAGUACAGGUGUGAAAUUGCCAACUGAACCUUGUCCUGAUGAUCCAAGCCUUCCUGUACCUG